AAGACGGCCAAAGCACCACGAACAUCCUGAGGCUGCAACGUCACAUGACACCUUCAUGAAGGUGGGAUUAUUUACCACUCAUGCAGUCAAGCUGUCUGUUGUGUUUAAGGAGUGGAAGCAUUUCUUUCCCAGACAAACAUGUUUACCUCUUUUUGUCUUUUUUCUGCAGCCUCAGCCAACUGUUGCCUCCUCGUCUCCUGGAAACACGACAACAAUCUUUUACCUUCACAAGUAAACAAACCAAAGUGUGGUUUACCGAGCUCGUCCUCGCGUGUACACGAUUUCAAGGUAAUAUUUCAGAGUAAUAGCACAGACAUUGUAUUGAUAGGAGUUAUUUGUCGUGGUUACUACAUACUGGAUCUGGAGUGUCAACAGCGUCGUCGACUGACCCACCAAAGCACGGAGGACCAUGUCAACAAGACAGUUGCAUGUCAGUUCCCCUGCUGGACAAUUGGGCCUGCCGGUCCUCCGCCGGCCACAGCAAUGUUCCUGUCAGUCCUGCUCUCAGCCACUCAGCCUCCUGGAGCUCCUCGCCCACUCAUACCCACUCUGGAGACACCCAAUGCGAGCAGACCUCCGGGUUGCAGAUGACCUGGAGCCUAUCCCAGCUGACUUCGGGGAAGAGGCAGGGUACACCCUGGACUGGUUACCAGCCGAUUGCAGGGCACAUGCAGUUUAGACAAACAACCAUUCCCACUCAUAUUCACAUCUAUGGACAAUUUAGAGUCUUCAGUCAACCUACCAUGCAUUUUUUGGGGCAAUGUGGGAGGAAGACGGACUUCCUGAAGAAAGCCCACACAAGCAUAAUGGGAACAUGCAUUCCACACAGGAAGGUGCUAACCACUUCAUGUAAAAUAGGCAAAACAAUAUUUGAAUAAUAAAAUAGUAGUUCAUUCUUUUUGAAAUGUUAUUAAUGUAGAGUGGUGCCUUGAGAUACAAGUGGUCUCAAUUACGAGUUUUUCAAUUAUAUGCACUGUCGUUCGGCCGUUUUGUUUGCUUUGACUUGCGAGCAAAAAUUCGUAAUACGUGUGUACGAGUAGUGAACUAGUCACAGUAGUUGUAAAAGUAUUACACUGCCUACUGGUGGCCAUAGUCACGCACAACAAAAGGAGUUGCAAUGAGUUUGUCAUGAUGGCCAAACUUAAAUUAUUUACAUUCUAUUGUAUUACUUUUGCUGGCUUUGAGUCAAAACCCAUGUCCAAAUUUGAUCAAGUUUAUAUUUUGUCACAAAUCUACUAUUGGUCAGUCCCCACACGGGUAUGUUAUUUUUACGAAUUAAUGACCAAUCUAAAGUGUUGAAAAUGGCUUGUUGUUUUUGAGGAUGCAAUGUUAAUGGCUUAACAAACAUGCUGUUUUUCUGGUUUCUGUAAAAGUUAUGGUUUUGGAGAUACUGGACAAGGAUACGGCCUAACACCAGCAAUAUGUUUUUCCAAGUAAAUAUGAUAGAGUGCCGUUUUCCUUAUUAAAAAAACAUCACUUUUUUUUCCUGGGGGAGACUGGAAUGGAAUAAUGGUGUUUCCAUUCAUUCUACUGGUGAAAGAGGAUUUGAGAUACAUGUUUUGAGUUAAGAGUGUGGUGAAGGGUGAUGGAAUGUUAUAAACUUGUAUCUCAAGGCACAACUCUAAUUGAGAUUACUUAAACAAUUAUUAGAUAUGAAAUUGUUUAUUUUACUAUUUUUAUUAUUAUUAUUAGUUAAUCAAAUUUAAAAAGUUAAAUGUAUACUGGAGUGCCGUGAAAAAGUAUUGGCCCACUUCUCAAAUUCUUAUGUUUCUGCACAGUUUCCCCUCUUUACUGUUUAAGAUCAUCGAAGAAAUAUAACCCAAAUGAACUUAAAAUGCUGUUUUUAAAAGGGUGAUUUCAUUAAUUCAAGAAAAAUGUUACCUGGACCUGUGUGAAAAAGUAAUUACCCCCCUUGUUCAAUUCUGAAUGAAUUGUGGCUAAUCACAAUUUUUUGUUAAUUUUCACUGAUUACACCCAAGCGUGAUUACCUCUAAACCUGUUCAAUCAAGAAAUCACUUAAACAGUAUCUGUCCUGACAAAAUCAAGUCAGAGAAAAGAGUUGAAAAAGCUGCAACAAAAUGACACCAUCCAAAGAAAUUCCAAACAGUCGCGAAAUCGAGUAAUUAACAUCUAUCAGUCUGGAAAGGGUUGCAAAAGCCAUUUCUAAAGCUUUAGGAUUCCAGCGAACCAUAGGGUGAGCCAUUAUCCUCGCAUGGAGAAAACAUGGAACAGUGGUGAACCUUCCCAGGAAUGGCCAGCCCUUAGUUAAGGUCAGUGUUCGUGACACAAAAAUAACGAAGAGACUGGGCAAAGAUGGCAUCCAAAGCGAAAACCACUGCUGGCCAAAAAGAACAUAAAGGCUCACAUCAAACAUCAUACCAACAGUCAACAAUGGUGUUGGUAUUGUGAUGGUUUUGGCUGCUUAGCUCCUUCAGGACCUGGACAACUUGCUGUGAUUGAUGGAACCAUGAAUUCUGCUCUUUAACAGAAACUCCUGAAGGAGAAUGUUCAGCCAUCAGUUUGUGACCUCAAGCUGAAGCACACUUGGGUUCUGCAGCAGGAUAAUGAUCCAAAACACACCAGUAAGUCAACAUCUGAAUGGCCUAAAAAGCAAACUGAAGGUUUUGGAGUCAAAGUCGGGACAUGAAUCUGAUUGAAAUGCAGUGGCAUGACCUUAAAGGCCGUUCAUGCUCGAAAAGCCUCCAUUUUUGCUGAAUUCAAACAGUUCUGCAAGGAAAAGUGGGCCAAAAUAUCUCCACAGCAUUAUGAAGGACUCAUUGGCAGUUAUAGAAAACUCCUGAUUUCAGUUGUUGCUGCUGAGGACGGCCCAACCAGUUAUUAGGUUUAGGGGGCCGUUACUUCUUCACACAGGGUCAGGUAACUUUUUCUCACCCUCCUUAAUAAAUGAAAUCACUAUUUACAACACCAUUUUGAGUUCACGGUUAUAUUUGUCUGAUAUUUACAUUUCUUUGACAUUAAAGUGGGGAAACUAUGCAAAAAUCCAAGAAUUUGAGAAGGGGGCUAAUAGUUUUUCACGGCACUGCAGUAUACGUUAAACUUUUUAAAUUUGCUUCAAUAAUAAUAAGAAUAAAAAUAGUAAAAUAAACAAUUUCAUAUAAAGUACAUAAAAUAAAAAACAUGUUCAUGGCACUGUAGGUGUAAAAAAUAGUUUACUGUUUUUCAAAUUUGCUAUCCAAUAAACUAGUUAGAUAAAUGAAUUGAUAUCUUCAAAUUAACCAAUUUAAGAUAGCAACGGCUGACUUAAUGUGUGUAGAUACUUUGCCAACCCUGGUCUAAAAGCAGUUUUUGAUACUUGAUAUUGGAUCCCAUUAGCUUGUGCAGGUGUACCUAAUGAGGUGGCCACGUUGGCUCAAUGUGGAAGAGUAAUCCGCAGUCUUUUCGUUUGUUUGAAAUCAACGGGGUCUCCAUGUUGCUGCCACCUUAUGGUGCCAUUAGGCUGUGAGGUGCACGUGUGGUGGGGUCAAGCCGCCUUCAGUCAGUGUGGCUAAAAGUUGACGACUGAUCGAUGCUCGGAUCAAUACGCGGAAUCGUCGCCUCAUUUGAGAAGUGCCAGUCGGGUGAGUUUCCUGCAGUCCGUCAAUCAGAAAGGGGAGGGGGAGACGUGUCAAUCCCUGCAGCCCCCCUUUACCUCUAUCCUCCUCCCCCGUGCACGUCACCAUGACAACAGCCGCGGAUGGUUCGCCAGUAGCGGAGGGAUUGGGGUGGGGGGGGGGGGGGGCAUGCGGAGCUUAGACAGGUGUUGUUGCGCUUUGCGGAUCGUCCGAGGAAGGGGCUCUUUAGCCAGGAUGGAACCCGAGAGGACACCUACACAUCCCCGUCGCAGUUUCACACGCACGCGGCCAGUUUGCUGUUCGACUUAAGGAAUUUCGUCAGGGCGGAAACACGAGCUCGCCGCAAUGGUGCACCACUCGGGCUCCAUCCAGUCCUUCAAGCAGCAGAAAGGUGGGUUGCAAGUCUGGCCAAUGCGUGUCUUUUGCUAGUGAGCUUUUGGAGACUUUCCUCCAAUUGUUUAGUACUUUUUAAUAUCAACAUGGACUCAAUCAAACAUAAAGGACUUGGAGGUCUCAUGGUCUCUUGGGAUAAAGACCCUGUCUCCGCCACAUUAGUUGUAUUUAUAGUACAUUAUUGCAUGAUGUAUGAGAUGCUGCAGGACUAUUGAGUACAUUUUUGCACGAUGUGCUCAGAAAACGCAUGACCUUUAUGCACCGAUGCACGAUGCCAUCGGUGCAAACAAAAGCUCACAGGCCAGCAUAAUCCUGAGCUCAUCGCUGUAAAUUACACAUAGGCAUAAAUGAGAUUUUUAUUUAUUAUUAUUUUUUUUUAAUAAUAAAGAAUGACUCGUGUCCUGCGCAUAUUGAA